rnacentral:lncRNA from 1 species
CCAAUGUGCACUCGCUGAAGAGAGAGCUGCUUGUGGUUAACACCUCCCUUGCUUCAUGUUUGACUUUGAGGUUUUCUACGCCUACAUGUUUCUGCUGCUGAUUGUGUGAAGCUUGAGAGCUCAUGGCUGAAGUUUUGCAAGAGUGCCUGGUGUGCGCAUAUCAGUGAGCAAAGCAGAGUUAUGGGCAUUUAAGGGGCCAUGUGCACUGUUUCACCAAGUAAGCUCCAAAAUUUUCGAAACUAGGAGAGCGAGCUGCAUUGGAUUAGCCUUACCAAAACAGAUGUGGUGCUGCUCUGCCAUCAGCAAAACAAAAGGCCUUGUUCAUCCUGUUUGUAUCUUUGCAGGCCUUCACACGGACAUCAAGGCAGCUUUAGCUCAAAGGCCCAAGCAGGAAAGAGCUGUAACUCAAUGCUGUGUUCACAUUGACUUGUUGCCCAACAGGAGAAACAAACCGGCAGGAAUUAAAUAUGCAUUCAAUGAAUCCUGCUGUGAAGUGUUUGUUAGCACGCCAACAUCCCAUGGCCACAUCAGCCUGUGUCUCAGGACCCAGCAGUGGGUAGCUG